rnacentral:rRNA from 1 species
GGCCAGACUCCUACGGGAGGCAGCAGUGAGGAAUAUUGGUCAAUGGCCGAGAGGCUGAACCAGCCAAGUCGCGUGAGGGAAGAAUGUCCUAAGGAUUGUAAACCUCUUUUGUCGGGGAGCAAAAAGGCUCUGCGGAGUCGUAUUGAGAGUACCCGAAGAAAAAGCAUCGGCUAACUCCGUGCCAGCAGCCGCGGUAAUACGGAGGAUGCGAGCGUUAUCCGGAUUUAUUGGGUUUAAAGGGUGCGUAGGCGGAGUGUCAAGUCAGCGGUAAAAUUUCGGGGCUCAACCCCGUCGUGCCGUUGAAACUGACACCCUUGAGUGAGUGAGAAGUAAGCGGAAUGCGUGGUGUAGCGGUGAAAUGCAUAGAUAUCACGCAGAACGCCGAUUGCGAAGGCAGCUUACCGGCGCUCAACUGACGCUGAGGCACGAAAGUGCGGGUAUCGAACAGGAUUAGAUACCCCCGUA